rnacentral:lncRNA from 1 species
AAUGUCAGUCUGUAGACGAUGGUGUCAACUCUGUUUAAUAUUUUAAAUGGCCCAAUGAAUCGGGGAUUUAGCUUCCCUCUCUUGCUAAACCUGCAAAUUUCUUGGAAAGAAGUGAUCUUCAAGAACACCUGAUCGCCUUUCUCAAAUUCUAAAUCUCUCCUCCAGUUGUCUAUAUAACUUUUCUGUCUGAUCUGAGCUGUCUAAAUAUCCUUCCUGAUCUUAACUAUUUUGGUUGUAGUCUCCAUUACGAGAUCUGGGCCGAACAGUUUUCUAUCACCCACUUUUUUCCAACAUAUCAACGAUCUGCAUGGGUAGCCAUACAACGCCUCGUGUGGAGUCAUGCCGAUACUU